UCUGUCCUGCAGAGGAAGGGCGGCCUGGCCACAGUGAGAGUCGGCCGUGGCGCGGGCGCUGUGAUUGCGGGUUGCGUGUCCCUGUGGGCGAGGGCGAGCGCGAGUGGAGGUCCAGGACAUUGCGCGCCUGGCCCAGAGUGGCUCGUCCAGCUCUGUGUCUUUUGGGGUCUGAGUGUGUGUGCGUGUCGUUUUGGCCGGUAACUUCAGACGAUUUCAUUUGUAGAGGAGAAUUAAUUCCAGGCACUUGAAAGAGCUUGACAAGUGCCCCAUUAUAUAAGAAAUCAAGGAAGGCUUCCAGCACAUAGGGUGGACCUCCUGUGAUGGACAUACAGGAAGACAUGAACAAGAAUCCAUUCAGGUGGAAGUCAUCUCCCCUCAACUGAUGUGUUUCCCUUACUUGUAAGAUGAAGGGAUUGAACCAGAUGGUCCCAAAGAGCCCUUGCAACUUCAAAUUUGGAAGUGGAAGGAAUUAGGUGGUUAUGUACCUGAGCAAGAAGUUUUAAGGUGCUAUGGGUACCACAGGUUUUCUAGUUCAUGUAAUUAAAUAUAUGGCAUUAAAGAAGAUAGGAAAUCAAGAAGGCUGCAAACACUACAUAUUAUGGACAAACCUUUUCCACACACAAAUAUA